rnacentral:rRNA from 1 species
GAUGAACGCUGGCGGCGUGCCUAAUACAUGCAAGUCGAGCGAACAGACGAGGAGCUUGCUCCUCUGACGUUAGCGGCGGACGGGUGAGUAACACGUGGAUAACCUACCUAUAAGACUGGGAUAACUUCGGGAAACCGGAGCUAAUACCGGAUAAUAUAUUGAACCGCAUGGUUCAAUAGUGAAAGACGGUUUUGCUGUCACUUAUAGAUGGAUCCGCGCCGCAUUAGCUAGUUGGUAAGGUAACGGCUUACCAAGGCAACGAUGCGUAGCCGACCUGAGAGGGUGAUCGCCCACACUGGAACUGAGACACGGUCCAGACUCCUACGGGAGGCAGCAGUAGGGAAUCUUACGCAAUGGGCGAAAGCUUGACGGAGCAACGCCGCGUGAGUGCUGAAGGUCUUAGGAUCGUAAAACUCUGUUAUUAGGGAAGAACAAAUGUGUAAGUAACUAUGCACGUCUUGACGGUACCUAAUCAGAAAGCCACGGCUAACUACGUG